rnacentral:rRNA from 1 species
GCUGGCGGCAUGCCUCAUACAUGCAAGUCGAACGAAGUCUUCGGACUUAGUGGCGCACGGGUGAGUAACAUGUGGGAAUCUACCUAGAGGUUCGGAAUAACUGCGGGAAACUGUAGCUAAUACCGGAUGUGUCUGCAAAGAGAAAGAUUUAUCGCCUUUAGAUGAGCCCGCACUAGAUUAGCUAGUUGGUGAGGUAACUGCUCCACCAAGGCUACGAUCUAUAGCUGAUUUGAGAGGAUGAUCAGCCACACUGGGACUGAGACACGGCCCAGACUCCUACGGGAGGCAGCAGUAGGGAAUAUUGGACAAUGGGGGAAACCCUGAUCCAGCAAUGCCGCGUGAGUGAAGAAGGCCCUCGGGUUGUAAAACUCUUUCAUCAAUGAUGAUAAUGACAUUAGUUGAAGAAGAAGCUCCGGCUAACUUCGUGCCAGCAGCCGCGGUAAUACGAAGGGGGCUAGCGUUGUUCGGAAUCACUGGGCGUAAAGCGUAUGUAGGCGGAUCAAAAAGUUAGAUGUGAAAUCCCUGGGCUCAACCCAGGAACUGCAUUUAAAACUAGUGAUCUAGAAUUUGGUAAGGGUUAGUAGAAUUUCCAGUGUAGAGGUGAAAUUCGUAGAUAUUGGAAAGAAUACCAGAAGCGAAGGCGACUAACUAGGCCAUUUUUGACGCUGAGAUACGAAAGCGUGGGUAGCAAACAGGAUUAGAUACCCUGGUAGUCCACGCAGUAAACGAUGAGUGCUAGUCGCUGGGACAAUAGUUUCAGUGUCGUAGCUAACGCAUUAAGCACUCCGCCUGGGAAGUACGGUC